AUCACUUCCCAUUGUACAGACCUGGUCCGUUUCAUUUUUCCCAUCACCAGUUGAUGAAUAUUUGGAUUGUUUCCCCUUUUUGGCUAUCAUGAGGAAAACUGCUAUAAGCAUUUGCAUAAUUGAUAGAUAAGUAAGACUGGGGAAGGAAGAGAAAGGAAGACACAGCCUCUGAGAGCCGGAUGAAGACACAAAUGGGAUGGAGGCUGCGGCUGUUAAACCAUCAGGACUCAGCGGCUGUUAAACCAUCAGGACUCAGCAAUUAUUUCAUGUGGAGACAAGUGAUGGCAAAGCCAAAAGGCCACGGGUGUUGAGCUGUUGACGAGAAACUGAAAGUGCCAUUGUGUUUAUACAGGAAGCUGCCAUUAGUAGGGAUUUGAAAAAGCAAGAGGAGAGGAUGAGUUUAGUGGGGAGUUCUUACACUUCAGGUGCUAGUGGAUACCACCAAGUCAAUAUUGAGUAGCAGGAAACCAGGGCCUGAUGUUCCGUCAGGCCAUCAGGGCGGAGACAUUGUGGAGAGGAAGUUUUGAGGCUGUGAGAUUAGGAGAGAAGCAUGGAGUGUAGAGCAGGAACUAGGCCUCUCUUUACCCAAAAUCCAAAACCCCACUUAUGCCAGACACACUCAAUACUUUCUGCUGGGAUCCUCAAUUCUCAUAAAGUUUUCAUAAUAAGGCCGGGCGGGGUGGCUUAUGCCUGUAUUCCCAGCACUUUGGGAGGCCGAGGCGGGCGGAUCACCUGAGGUCAGGA
rnacentral:lncRNA from 1 species